rnacentral:rRNA from 1 species
UGGGGAAUAUUGCACAAUGGGCGAAAGCCUGAUGCAGCAACGCCGCGUGAGGGACGACGGCCUUCGGGUUGUAAACCUCUUUUAGCAAGGAAGAAGCGAAAGUGACGGUACUUGCAGAAAAAGCGCCGGCUAACUACGUGCCAGCAGCCGCGGUAAUACGUAGGGCGCAAGCGUUAUCCGGAAUUAUUGGGCGUAAAGAGCUCGUAGGCGGUUUGUCGCGUCUGCUGUGAAAACCCGAGGCUCAACCUCGGGCCUGCAGUGGGUACGGGCAGACUAGAGUGCGGUAGGGGAGAUUGGAACUCCUGGUGUAGCGGUGGAAUGCGCAGAUAUCAGGAAGAACACCGAUGGCGAAGGCAGAUCUCUGGGCCGUAACUGACGCUGAGGAGCGAAAACGGGUGGGGAGCAAACAGGCUUAGAUGACCCU